AUUGAACGCUGGCGGCAGGCCUAACACAUGCAAGUCGAGCGGAGCGGCGGACGGGUGGGUAAUGCCUAGGAAUCUGCCUGGUAGUGGGGGAUAACGUCCGGAAACGGACGCUAAUACCGAAUACUUUCAGACGAGCCUAGCUCGGAUUAGCUAGUUGGUGGGGUAAGGGCCUACCAAGGCGACGAUCCGUACCUGGCCUGAGAGGAUGACCAGUCACACUGGAACUGAGACACGGUCCAGACUCCUACGGGAGGCAGCAGUGGGGAAUAUUGGACAAUGGGCGAAAGCCUGAUCCAGCCAUGCCGCGUGUGUGAAGAAGGCCUUCGGAUUGUAAAGCACUUUAAGUUGGGAGGCGUUACCAACAGAAUAAGCACCGGCUAACUUCGUGCCAGCCGCCGCGGUAAUUC
rnacentral:rRNA from 1 species